UUAAUUAUUUACUAUUUUUGGCAACUUUUGAUUUUUAGCUUAGAAGUAAGAAUUAGGCCAAAAUAAAAUAAUAAAAUAAUCAAAAUUAACUCAGGAGUUGGUUAUUUUGGGAUUUCUGAAAAUUUUAGAACUUUUUGGAAUUUUAGGUGAAUCAAUUCUAAUUAACUUAUUAUUUCUAGCAAUUAAUUGUAUUUAGCCUAAAAAUAGAAAUUUAGCCGAAAUAAAAUUACUAAAAAUAAUAAAAUAAUUAAAAUCAAUAUGGAAAAUGCUUUUCUUGUAGUUCUUGGGUUUCUUGAGGCUUGGCUGAUAGCUUUUAGAUACUGUCUAAUUUUAACGCUAAUAUGACAACAAAUAAAAAAUUAAACAAGAAUUUAAUUUUAAAAUUUUCCAAUCAUGAAAUUAGAUUGAAUUAGGUAGAAUAUGAAUGUAAAUGGCUAGACUUGAUGAUUUUGUUGUUUAGAAAUGGUUGAAAUCAAUAUCUAACACUUAGAGUUUCAGCCUGAAAUUUACUAAGUGAUUUUGGCAUGUGCUGAAAUAUUAAUUAGAAAUGGAUUUUGAUGAGAAUGGUUAAGGAAUGGUUCUAUAGAAUGAUUUUUGGUUCAAAAAGUGUCUAUGGAUGUGCUUGUAGUUGUUAAAUUGACUUAUUAUGCUGGAUACUAAAAUUUUGGUCAGAACUAACAGUAGGUAUGAAAUGUGUGUAGAAUAUGAAAAUAGGUAUGAAAUGUGUUUAGAAAAUGUAUGGAAUGAGUGUUUCUUGGCAUGAGUAAUAUUUUACACUUAAAGAAUUAUAAUUAGUUAAUUUAUUUCGGCAAGUAGUGAUAUGUCUAAAAUUUCUUAAUUGAAAAUGAGACUUUAAGAAUGUCUAAAAUAUGAAUGACAGACAAGAACUUUGGCAAAUUUAUAUGUACGGAAUGAAAAUGCCAAAAUUAGAAAUGGCACCAGACUUUCCUUUCAUUGAUAAGGCAUGUUAUCUCAAGCUCCGAUCGAGAUUUCUUUAUGUUUCUGCUCUAGAUUCUUUAGGCGCCAGUACUAUAAAUAUGGUAAUUCCUUGUUUCUUUCGACUUAAUAUUUCUAUACUACACUUCUUCUUGUCUUGAUGUCUUAAAACUCUUCUUUACAAGAUAAUCCUGGCUUUCAUUCCUGAAGCAUCAAUGUUACUGCCACCACUAUCACUACAAGCACUUCUCCUACCGUUUCUAUUGCCACAUCUUUAUAUCCUCAAGUAGUAUUUUCUACUUUUAUGCCUUUGAAAUUGUUCUUGAAAGCCAAUGACUUAUCCAUAAAUUUCUUUAUUUGAUCUUGUUUCCUUCUCAUUCCUUGUGAUUGAUCCACUAUUGUUUCUUCCCAACCUCUCUACCGAGGAGCUCUUACUAGGUUAGGAAUAGAAUGCCUAGCAGAACUUAUAGAAAAUUGGUCCUUAGGCCAACCUUCCUUCAUGGAUCACAAAUAGUUAACUUAGGAUACUAAAUCUAGUCGUUGAAUCGGUCUGCUUAGGAUGCCAAAUCUAGUGAUAGAAUCGACAUAUCACUCCUUCAAUACCAAAUCAUAGCUAUUAGUAACUUAAUUUUGUGGCCAGGUAUCGACCUUCGAUCUUAAUCUUACUCCUUCCUUUGAUCCUCGCUUAUAAAUCAAAUAGGCUCAAAAUCCACACUAUAGUGAUAGACUUUCCUUUCAUGAUGAUUUAAACCCAUCCUUUUUAUAGUAAGAUAUAAUAAUUGACAGUAAUGUUAAUACUAAAGAAAAUACAUAGUAAAAACUUACAAUCAAUUUCGAUCUCAAUGUGUGGGCUCUCCAAACUUUAUUACCUCCUCGUUGAGUACAAAAAUUGAAUCUUCCAUGGAAAUAGAUUCUUUUGUUGAAUUCUCUUAUGACAUAAUUUUCAAAGGCUUGUGAAUUCUCACCUUCUUAAGAUGACUAAGACUAGCAAAUUGAUUAGUGAAUCCUUAACAAAAAUAUUUAUCUUUUAUUGGGGUUUACUCACUAGAGGAUUUUUGCCUAUUUAUAUACUUACAUGGCUU
rnacentral:lncRNA from 1 species